GUUAACUUUUGUACAAGUGAACAUGUAGGCCCUAAUUACUGAUAUCAAAAAUAGACAUUGGUAGGUAAAAAUUAACUAAGGGGCCCUACUAGUAAAAAUAAUCAAGAAUUCACAUUGCAAAUAGUAAAAAAAAUCAAUUUCUUGAUAUCAAAAAUGCAUAAAUUGUGAAUGAAUAAAAGCUAAAAUGGCUUGCCAUAGCAUGUUAAAGUUUUAUUUAUUUAUUAUUAUGCAUGUUGAAGCAAUUCUUGAUUCAUGGUUAUUAUUUACUGAGGGAUGUGCAGCCAUAUUGACCAGUAUGUCCAGCUAAUCAACAUUUUAAAUUCAAUAUAGCCUAUAAAUCAAUGUCAAAUUGUCAAUACAUUGCUUUCCAUCUUGCAUAAUUAGUGCAGUUGUUUAGAGUUUUUAACUACACAUUGUCUGAGACUAGAUAAUCAAUGUCUUAAAAGUAUGUAUAAUGUGUACUUUGAUGAGGAGUGCCAUCAUUCACGCCCAUAUAUUGUAGCCUACAGUCUGUCUGGUCUUCACAUAUAUUUCUGCUUGAAAAAUGCACGUUUCAUUUCGCAUGAUAACACACCCGACGCGGUUAUCUUUUCCAAGCUGCAGUAAACAAACACCGUUGCACUUUGUCGUUUAUCAAAUGUAAUAAAUAAUUGUAUUUUACUCUCACUUUUGUCAGGCACAAAGUCACAAAACACAGCCCUGGAAGUGACUGGCAUUAGCAGCUAGACACAGACCAAGAGAUGCACUGCCAGCCUGCCCAGCUAGAUGGUGAUCAGUCAGCAGA